ACGGGUGAGUAAUGCCUAGGAAUCUGCCUGGUAGUGGGGGAUAACGCUCGGAAACGGACGCUAAUACCGCAUACGUCCUACGGGAGAAAGCAGGGGACCUUCGGGCCUUGCGCUAUCAGAUGAGCCUAGGUCGGAUUAGCUAGUUGGUGAGGUAAUGGCUCACCAAGGCGACGAUCCGUAACUGGUCUGAGAGGAUGAUCAGUCACACUGGAACUGAGACACGGUCCAGACUCCUACGGGAGGCAGCAGUGGGGAAUAUUGGACAAUGGGCGAAAGCCUGAUCCAGCCAUGCCGCGUGUGUGAAGAAGGUCUUCGGAUUGUAAAGCACUUUAAGUUGGGAGGAAGGGCAUUAACCUAAUACGUUGGUGUCUUGACGUUACCGACAGAAUAAGCACCGGCUAACUCUGUGCC
rnacentral:rRNA from 1 species